rnacentral:rRNA from 1 species
CGCACCUUUCGGGGUGAGUGGCAGACGGGUGAGUAACACGUGGGAACGUGCCCUCUAGUUCGGAAUAACCCAGGGAAACUUGGGCUAAUACCGGAUACGCCCUUCGGGGGAAAGAUUUAUUGCUAGAGGAUCGGCCCGCGUCUGAUUAGCUAGUUGGUAGGGUAAUGGCCUACCAAGGCGACGAUCCGUAGCUGGUCUGAGAGGAUGAUCAGCCACACUGGGACUGAGACACGGCCCAG